UGGGGAAUAUUGCACAAUGGGCGCAAGCCUGAUGCAGCGACGCCGCGUGGGGGAUGACGGCCUUCGGGUUGUAAACUCCUUUCGCUAGGGACGAAGCUUUUUGUGACGGUACCUAGAUAAGAAGCACCGGCUAACUACGUGCCAGCAGCCGCGGUAAUACGUAGGGUGCGAGCGUUGUCCGGAAUUACUGGGCGUAAAGGGCUCGUAGGUGGUUUGUCGCGUCGUCUGUGAAAUUCCGGGGCUUAACUCCGGGCGUGCAGGCGAUACGGGAAUAACUUGAGUACUGUAGGGGUAACUGGAAUUCCUGGUGUAGCGGUGAAAUGCGCAGAUAUCAGGAGGAACACCGAUGGCGAAGGCAGGUUACUGGGCAGUUACUGACGCUGAGGAGCGAAAGCAUGGGUAGCGAACAGG
rnacentral:rRNA from 1 species